UAAAUAAUUUUCUAGAUCCGGCCCUGACUCUCUUCCACUGUAGAAAAGUGAAGCAGGCAAUGUCAAAUAUGGCGCUGAUAUCUUGAAACCCGAGUCUACGCAGUAGUGAGCGUGAAGUGGAGCCGCGGUAUCAAGGCCCCGCCCACACUCCCGCAGAAUCAGUUAGUACAGUUUACUGCAGAAUAACUCAUUAUGUCUGUGUGAAAUAAACAAUCGUGGAAAUGUAGGAAUUAAAGUUCCCGAAAAUCAUGAAAAAAGUCAGUUGGUGCCUCAGUGACUACUUCGCUCAGAGAAGCUGUUAAUCAUGAUGUCAAACCCCUGUUUUUAUAGCAUCAAAUAUCUAACUAUACCCAAACUUAUUUAAAAAACGAACACUUGAACUUACAUCAGCGCGAUAAAAACUACAUAAAAUGACAGAAACCAUCUUUGGAAAAAAAUUAUUUGAAGUGUAAUUUGAUUGUUUAGUUUGUCUCACAUCCCAUUAGAUUACAUAGAGAGGGCGGGGUUUAUGACCUAUACUGGGACCAACCACUUGGGGGCAAUCGAGACACUUUGGCUUCACUUUUCACUUCUCUUGUGCGGCUGUCACAGAGACUAACUCCGUGAUUCCCUCCUCUGGCCAUCAGAGGGCUCCCUCACCCGAAUAUUAACCCUCACACUUACACACUACAUUUCCCAUCAGCCCCGUACCUGGCACUGAUUACGUUGCUCAGCUGCAGCUCAUUCCCUAGCCUAUAUAAACUGUCUCUUCACCAUUCCUCUUUGCGAGCUCUUGUAUUACUCUGGUUUGCAUUUCUGAGCGUUUAUUCUUGUUUUGCCUGCCUGUUGUGACCCAGUUUGUUCCCCGUUUAUGAUUCUCUGCUGCCUGCCUUUUGGACUAUUUGCUUUGUUUCUGAUCUGUGAUUGUUCUCCGCCUGCCCUGAUCUAAUGCCUGUUUAUCGACUACGACUGUGUCUGCUCUCCGUUACUGUGUUUGCUGGUGUCGGACCAUUGCCUGUUUGACCACGAUUCUAAUAAAAGCUUGCUUAUGGAUCCCACUUCGUGUGACGCCUCGUUACAGAGGCACACUUAAGCCUAACUAAAAUAAGUACUAAAAUAAGAACAAACAGUAGGACUAAUAAGUGCAACAGAACUGAGCAAAGGUACAAAUCAAAAUUAAGAGUGGUUUUGGGUAGGUUUAUGACAGAGAUUACUACAGAAAUUAAAACUAAUCAAUUGUAAAAAUUAAAAACUACAUAUUCCACUCUGUAUGAAUUAGAUAAAUUGAUUAUUAUUAAAGCUACAGAAGAUGUUCAGUCAACUUUUUCUUUCUUUAAACCUACCUACUCCACCGUUAAAUAUGAAGAGGGGCUUCCCCAUCCGAGUCUUCGGUUCUUCGUCAUCUGCUUAAGGAGUUUUCCUUGCCACUGUCUCAUUUGCCUUAUUCAAGAGGAAUUAAAAAGCACUAUUCUUUGUCUUAAUCUAUUAAUUAAGAUCACUGAUAAUGUAGCAGACUUCAUGAACUGAUUACUAUUGUUACAACUAAGUAAACAGGUACAUUGUAACAGUUAGAGAGAUGCCCACAGGUGUUGUUUUUUAACAAAUUAAUAAACCAAAAAACAACAUAAAGCUGUGUGUUGGCCUUCAGAAAUGUUGGAUCAUUCAGCUGAUAUGCAAACUUUCUUGCUUCCAGCAAGUUUCACUUUAUCAUAGGAACCAACCUGUGAUAUGACAAUGCCUUCAUCUACCAGCUGAUUUAAAACUUUAAACCUGCUCAAAGUCACAUGGUAGAGGGAAUAAACAUUUUCAGGUGAACUAUCCCUUUAAGAAGUAGAAUGACCAAAAAAAUCAUAUCAAAUGCAUUCCCUCUAUCCUGCAGUAAUAGAAAAUCUCCGCCUCUUGCGAGGGUGUAAUGUGUAACAUUCAAAUAAAAGCCCGAGAUCGACUCUGCCGUUCACAUUUACAUCACAGAGAAUCGACAGACGCAGAGAACAAUCAUCUGUGGCAAACGUGACCUGAGUAUGGCUUCCAAAACUCAAAUACUACUACUGCUGCUAGUGGCUGUAAUGAUUGCAAGCUAUGGUCUAACCAAUGCAAACAACACAUCAACGACAGAAACAACAGCGACACAAACAACACCACCAACAGCGACACAAACAACAAUAACAACAACCAGGAUCACAGUCAACAGCACCGCUGGAUCUCUUUCUCCUGUGGGGAUGGUGGGUCUGCCUGGUCUUCUGAUCUACACGCUCACCUCCGCUGCGCUUCUCAAACUCUUCCAGCUCAUCUGAUCAUCAUGAUCAUCGUCUCCCUCAGUCUGUCACACAGCUAAACCUACGGGAUGUGCCUGUGACUGUGUCUGCACAUGUUUUUAGCAGAUUUGUUUUUGCAGAUACUUACUACUCUAAUAAAAAUGUAUAAUAAUAUAAAAAUCAAAAUCUAUAAAAAUGUAGAAAAAAAUAUGUAUGAUUGUAUAUGAAGACUUAAGAAUAAAGAAGGAAAAAAACACUUUUGUUGACUGUGCUGAUAUUUCUAAAUGACCUUCCACCUGCAGAAUGGUUAAAGACAGGUGUUUAUAGGCAAAUUAUUAAAAAGGGUAUGUGUGUGUCGUGAGGAGUGGGCAUUUGAGUCAUUUUAUUAAAGUGAAAUAAGGUGGUUUUUAUACCAAAAUUUUAGAUCUCAUUGAAUUUUCACAAUUCUUUAUACCCAUUUUGAUAUUGCAGAAAAAAUAUAUACUAAUAUAAGUUACUUAUUGAAGACAAUUAAAUAAUCAGUACUAAAAUAAGAACAAAGAAACUAAUUAUAGGACAAACAAUAGAACAAAUAAAUGCAUCGGAAUAAAUGUACAAAUCAAAAUAAAGAGUGCUUUCAGUUUUUCAGGUAGGUCUAUAACAGAAGAUUACUAAAUCAACUAAUCAAAUGUAAAAUUAAAAACUGCAUAGUCCACACUGUAUGAAUUAAUUAAAUAAAUUGAUUAUUAUUAAAGCUACAGAAGAUGUUCAGUCAAGAGCAGCGAGUCUUUCUCUCUUUUUCUUUCUUUAAACCUACCUACUCCACCGUUAAAUAUGAAGAGGGGCUUCCCCACCCGAGUCUUCGGUUCUUCGUCAUCUGCUUAAGGAGUUUUCCUUGCCACUGUCUCAUUUGCCUUAUUCAAGAGGAAUUAAAAAGCACUAUUCUUUGUCUUAAUCUAUUAAUUAAGAUCACUGAUAAUGUAGCAGACUUCAUGAACUGAUUACUAUUGUUACAACUAAGUAAACAGGUACAUUGUAACAGUUAGAGAGACCAAAAAACAACAUAAAGCUGUGUGUUGGCCUUCAGAAAUGUUGGAUCAUUCAGCUGAUAUGCAAACUUUCUUGCUUCCAGCAAGUUUCACUUUAGGAACCAACCUGUGAUAUGACAAUGCCUUCAUCUGCCAGCUGAUUUAAAACUUUAAACCUGCUCAAAGUCACAUGGUAGAGGGAAUAAACAUUUUCAGGUGAACUAUCCCUUUAAGAAGAAGAAUGACCAAAAAAAUCAUAUCAAAUGCAUUCCCUCUAUCCUGCAGUAAUAGAAAAUCUCCGCCUCUUGCGAGGGUGUAAUGUGUAACAUUCAAAUAAAAGCCCGAGAUCGACUCUGCCGUUCACAUUUACAUCACAGAGAAUCGACAGACGCAGAGAACAAUCAUCUGUGGCAAACGUGACCUGAGUAUGGCUUCCAAAACUCAAAUACUACUACUGCUGCUAGUGGCUGUAAUGAUUGCAAGCUAUGGUCUAACCAAUGCAAACAACACAUCAACGACAGAAACAACAGCGACACAA